rnacentral:rRNA from 1 species
UGCUCGAGUGGCGAACGGGUGAGUAACACGUGAGUAACCUGCCCUUGACUUUGGGAUAACUUCAGGAAACUGGGGCUAAUACCGGAUAGGAGCUCCUGCUGCAUUGUGGGGUUGGAAAGUUUCGGCGGUUGGGGAUGGACUCGCGGCUUAUCAGCUUGUUGGUGGGGUAGUGGCUUACCAAGGCUUUGACGGGUAGCCGGCCUGAGAGGGUGACCGGCCACAUUGGGACUGAGAUACGGCCCAG